AAGCGCAAGUGACGGUACCUGCAGAAGAAGCACCGGCUAACUACGUGCCAGCAGCCGCGGUAAUACGUAGGGUGCGAGCGUUGUCCGGAAUUAUUGGGCGUAAAGAGCUCGUAGGCGGUCUGUCACGUCGGAUGUGAAAGCCCGGGGCUUAACCCCGGGUCUGCAUUCGAUACGGGCAGACUAGAGUGUGGUAGGGGAGAUCGGAAUUCCUGGUGUAGCGGUGAAAUGCGCAGAUAUCAGGAGGAACACCGGUGGCGAAGGCGGAUCUCUGGGCCAUUACUGACGCUGAGGAGCGAAAGCGUGGGGAGCGAACAGGAUUAGAUACCCUGGUAGUCCACGCCGUAAACGUUGGGAACUAGGUGUUGGCGACAUUCCACGUCGUCGGUGCCGCAGCUAACGCAUUAAGUUCCCCGCCUGGGGAGUACGGCCGCAAGGCUAAAACUCAAAGGAAUUGACGGGGGCCCGCACAAGCAGCGGAGCAUGUGGCUUAAUUCGACGCAACGCGAAGAACCUUACCAAGGCUUGACAUACACCGGAAAGCCGUAGAGAUACGGCCCCCCUUGUGGUCGGUGUACAGGUGGUGCAUGGCUGUC
rnacentral:rRNA from 1 species